rnacentral:rRNA from 1 species
AACGAACGCUGGCGGCAGGCCUAACACAUGCAAGUCGAGCGCCCCAGCGAUGGGGAGCGGCGGACGGGUGAGUAACGCGUGGGAACGUGCCCCUUUCUGCGGAAUAGCCUCGGGAAACUGGGAGUAAUACCGCAUAAGCCCUACGGGGGAAAGAUUUAUCGGGAAGGGAUCGGCCCGCGUUGGAUUAGGUAGUUGGUGGGGUAAUGGCCUACCAAGCCGACGAUCCAUAGCUGGUUUGAGAGGAUGAUCAGCCACACUGGGACUGAGACACGGCCCAGACUCCUACGGGAGGCAGCAGUGGGGAAUCUUAGACAAUGGGCGCAAGCCUGAUCUAGCCAUGCCGCGUGAUCGAUGAAGGCCUUAGGGUUGUAAAGAUCUUUCAGAUGGGAAGAUAAUGACGGUACCAUCAGAAGAAGCCCCGGCUAACUCCGUGCCAGCAGCCGCGGUAAUGUACAGUGU